GAUGAAGAACGUAGCGAAAUGCGAUACGUAAUGUGAAUUGCAAAUUCAGUGAAUCAUCGAGUCUUUGAACGCACAUUGCGCCCCCUGGUAUUCCGGGGGGCAUGCCUGUCCGAGCGUCAUUGCUGCCCUCAAGCACGGCUUGUGUGUUGGGCCCCGUCCUCCGAUUCCGGGGGACGGGCCCGAAAGGCAGCGGCGGCACCGCGUCCGGUCCUCGAGCGUAUGGGGCUUUGUCACCCGCUCUGUAGGCCCGGCCGGCGCUUGCCGAUCAAACCAAAUUUUUAUCCAGGUUGACCUCGGAUCAGGUAGGGAUACCCGCUGAACUUAAGCAUAUCAAUAAGCGGAGGA
rnacentral:misc_RNA from 1 species